rnacentral:lncRNA from 1 species
CAUUUUUAUUACUUUAUUAACCUUUUUUAUUUAACCUGGUAAUAAAACUACUCAGCUGUGGGGUGAAGUCUCAAUUAAAAUUUCCCUCUCCAGGAGCCACAGAGCCAAAACCUCCAGCAGUUAUCGAAGUUGGUUUCCCUGUGAAAGCUGUGCUCUGUUAUCAGAUUCUGUUAUUCAGUACAGGGAUCCCUGCUUUCCAGCAAGCAUCAUUUCAGGAGGUGCUCUGAAAGCUUUCGGGCUCUCCCAAUGAUUGCUUCGCUUUUCUUUCACAGCAAUUACACUCUCUUCAUUUAAUUUCAAUGGAAACUUUAGUGUUUUAGACCUUGCCCAUGUAGCUGAAUGCUCAUCUCUGGAUCUUAUUUCCAGUCCUCAGGAGGACUGGUUUUGAUGACCUAGUCUGAUUACAGCAUCUUUGACAGCUUUAAAGGAAUUUGCCCGGGGGAAGAAGACAGCUGCUGCCCUGAUGAGGGAUUUUUCUGAGCAGGCCUCCCGAGCCAGACAUGUCAGUGUGAGAUGCUGCCCACGUUUUUCAUCGUGACCAACAGGUUGUUAAACUACAAUCAAAAGCACUUAGCACGAAUGGAACUGUCCCUGUCUUGAGAUUUGAACUGCUGACAUCUUUAUCCGCUGAAACUUGAGUGCCCAGGACCCACCAGAGAGGGGAUUUUGGGAGCAUUUCACAAGGCCUGCGGCUGUGAGCUGGUUCCAGCAUGAGGAAAAGCCCUCCUUCACCCCAAUGCACAGGAAAGAGAAGACAGAUGACAGUAGCUAUCCUCCUUCCAUUCUGAGGAAAAGGCCACCUGUGGACCAAGCUGUGGGGGAAAAGCGGAGAGCAGAGAGAAGGGUUCGAUUUCGUGAGCCAGAAGAAGUCAUUGAACAUGGUAUGCUC